AUGGGUGACCUCCCGGGAAGUCCUC
rnacentral:siRNA from 1 species